rnacentral:lncRNA from 13 species
UCCGAAAGUUCUAUUGAAAAUAUCCCUUUUAGUCAUAAGGUUGGUAGCGCUGUAACUAACUAUGUUGUGUUCCGUAAUGUAAGUUAAGUUUAUGAUUAUCGUUGGCUCACGGUGGUUUGCAGAGAUCAACAAAGAGGAAUCAAAAAGCAAAAAAUGGAUUUCCAAGAAUUCCGGAGAUAAAAAUCCUAAGUUUUGAUUAAUAUUAAUAUAUUAAUUAACAGCUUCAAUCACAAAAUGUUAAUGUAAAUACAAUCAAACAAUUAAUAUUAUUUGAUGGAGUAUUCAAUUAUACAUUAUAUGUUUCAAAUCAAAUAUAUGAACGUGCGAUUAAAGGUAUAAAAUAAAAUUUUUAUAUUUCUCUUAACAAAGAAUGUAAAAUAUUUUAACAGUAGAAAUCUUCUCAAUCUGUUAAAUGUUUGUAUUAAUAUCUAUUCAAGAAUAAUUCUUUCUGUA